rnacentral:rRNA from 1 species
CACUCCUGCGGGAGGCAGCAGUGGGGAAUAUUGUACAAUGGGCGCAAGCCUGAUCCAGCCAUGCCGCGUGAGUGAUGAAGGCCCUAGGGUUGUAAAGCUCUUUCACCGGUGAAGAUAAUGACGGUAACCGGAGAAGAAGCCCCGGCUAACUUCGUGCCAGCAGCCGCGGUAAUACGAAGGGGGCUAGCGUUGUUCGGAUUUACUGGGCGUAAAGCGCACGUAGGCGGACUAUUAAGUCAGGGGUGAAAUCCCGGGGCUCAACCCCGGAACUGCCUUUGAUACUGGUAGUCUUGAGUUCGAGAGAGGUGAGUGGAAUUCCGAGUGUAGAGGUGAAAUUCGUAGAUAUUCGGAGGAACACCAGUGGCGAAGGCGGCUCACUGGCUCGAUACUGACGCUGAGGUGCGAAAGCGUGGGGAGCAAACAGGAUUAGAAACCCCGGUAGUCCC